rnacentral:lncRNA from 1 species
GGAGAGAAGGGACAAAGGGGGAAGAGGGUAAAAGGGAGCAAGGAGAGCAAGAGAAGCAAGAGCAAGGGAGAGGAGGGGACAAGUAGCCCUUUUAUAGUGUCAGGUUUGCCUGGCUGUUGCCAGAUAAACUGUGGGGUGGAGCUUAGACAGGAUGCUAACACAUGGAACCUUGGGAUGUAGGGGCUUGCUAUUGCAGCCGCUUUCCCUUAACACGGGGGCAUCCACCCCAGCUGUGGUGGAUGAGGUGCUAAUAAAGACAUUUCCAUCCUCAGGAGGUUGGAGUUGGGCUAGACCCACGAGACAGAAGCCGAUUCAUUCGCAAGAGAAAAGGAACAAGCCUACCGCUUACCUGCACAGGCGGGACACACCUCUGGUGGGACUUCAGCCAAUGAAAAAGCACUCUGCUAAGACCUGGUCAAGGAGACCGAGUGCUAAACACAGACCAGUUCACAAUAACCGAUAUUUGCAUGAGAACAAAUAAAAUGCUUCUACAGUGUCUUCUUCAUUUGAUCCCCAAAAGGCUGUGCAUUAAACAGGAUAGAUCUUAUUUUAUGUUGAAAAGGACUGUGUUUCAAAGAGGAACCAAAUUGUGCCCGUGUUUGUCAGUGAUAGAGGAGAACAUUGUAAGUACCUUCCCUCCCUCUCCCUCCCC